AUGGACCUGCAGUCUGUCACAAGGUUUGUGCAUGGGGCUGUGUCACUGUGUUAUGUGUUCAGCAGAGGAACCAAGCUGACCGUCCUUGGUCAGCCCAUGGUCACUCCUUCACUCACUCUGUUCCCGCCCUCCUCUGAGGAACACAAGGACAACAAGGCCACCCUGGUGUGUCUGAUCAAUGACUUCUACCCGGGCACCGUGAAGGUGAACUGGAAGGCCGACGGCACCCCCGUCACCCAGGGUGUGGACACCACCCAGCCCUCCAAACAGAGCAACAACAAGUAUGCGGCCAGCAGCUUCCUCAGCCUGUCAGCCGAUCAGUGGAAAUCCUACCAGAGAGUCACCUGCCAGGUCACGCAUGAGGGCCAAGCCGUGGAGAAGAGCCUGACCCCUGCAGAAUGCUCCUAG